UACAGAGGUCUCAAGCGUUGUUCGGAUUCAUUGGGCGUAAAGGGUGCGUAGGCGGUGCGGUAAGUCGGGUGUGAAAUCUCGGAGCUUAACCUCAGAAUUGCAUUCAAUACUGCCUUGCUAGAGAGCUGUAGAGGAGACUGGAAUUUACGGUGUAGCAGUGAAAUGCGUAGAUAUCGUAAGGAACGCCAGUGGCGAAAGCGAGUCUCUGGGCAGCAUCUGACGCUGAGGCACGAAGGCCAGGGGAGCAAACAGG
rnacentral:rRNA from 1 species